rnacentral:rRNA from 1 species
CGCAGCCGCGGUAAUUCCAGCUCCAAUAGCGUAUAUUAAAGUUGUUGCAGUUAAAAAGCUCGUAGUUGAAUUUCGGGAUCAAGUCGUCGGUCGUGCCUCGGUACGCACUGGUGACAUUGGUUUCUCCCUUCUGAAGAACCUUGAUGUCAUUAAUUUGGUGUCUUGGGGAAUCAGGACUGUUACUUUGAAAAAAUUAGAGUGUUUAAAGCAGGCUCACGCUUGAAUACAUUAGCAUGGAAUAAUGAAAUAGGACGUUUGAUUCUAUUUUGUUGGUUUCUAGGAUCGACGUAAUGAUUAAUAGGGAUAGUUGGGGGCAUUAGUAUUCAAUUGUCAGAGGUGAAAUUCUUGGAUUUAUUGAAGGCUAACUACUGCGAAAGCAUUUGCCAAGGAUGUUUUCAUUAAUCAAGAACGAAAGUUAGGGGAUCGAAGACGAAUCAGAUACCGUCGUAGUCUUAACCAUAAACUAUGCCGACUAGGGAUCGGAUGAUGUUAAUUUUUUAAUGACUCAUUCGGCGCCUUA